rnacentral:lncRNA from 10 species
GGGAGCGGGGCCGACACAGGACUGCAGUUGACAGCAGAUAACUGAAAGCUCGGAAAGCGAAACCGUGGAUAAGCAGGGGAACUGUGGCAUCCCAUUUAAAAUUGCUUCUGAAGAGAAGCAUGAGGUUACAUCUGUAAUCUCCCUGCAGCAGAGUCAACUGCAUAAGAAACCAAAAGACACACCUGCUCCAUGCCAGCUUCGAUAAUUUCUUUGUACCUUCGGCGAAAGAAGCCCAUCUGAAAGGCAGAAAGAAAGAGAAGCUGAGUUAGAAGUGCUGAAGAAUCAGCCAUUGUGACCCCAAGGCAGUCUGUCCCUGGCCUAAGCCACCACAUAAAAAGUCAGACCAUCUGCUGGAAGAACCACAUGGAGAGGCCCUGAGUCAACAUGGAGAGGAAGAAGGACUUGACUGAAUCCAGCCUUCCAGCUGUCCCUACCAAGGUGCCAGGCAUGAGAAUGAAGCUGUCUUGAACUCUGAAGACCAGCUUAGCCACCAGGUAAAUGCCACUAAGUGACCUCACUCAAUGUCAUGUGGGACGGAAGAAUCACCCCGCCAAACCCUUCCUGGAUCCCUGACCCAGAAAUUUGUCAGAUGUAAUGGUUGUGAAAAGCCAUUCAAUUUGGGGGCAGUUUGUAUGCAGCAUAGCUAGCUGGUAUGAUACAACAGCCUGCAAUUCAGGCAGCAGCAGCACUAACAACGAUGAA